rnacentral:misc_RNA from 1 species
UUUCCGUAGGUGAACCUGCGGAAGGAUCAUUCAUAAUAAGUGCUUUAUGGCACUUUUUUAAAUCCAUAUCCACCUUGUGUGCAAUGUCAGGGUUGAUUUUUCUCUCGAGAGGAUCAGCCCCAAACAUCAACUAUAUCUCAACUCUUUGUCUGAAAAAUAUUAUGAAUAAACAAUUCAAAAUACAACUUUCAACAACGGAUCUCUUGGCUCUC